GGGGAUAUAGUUUAACUGGUAAAACUAUGAUUUUGCAUAUCAUUAUUUUAGGAUCGACACCUAAUAUCUCCA
rnacentral:tRNA from 1 species